AUGUCGCCGCCCUUCUUCUCCCCGCUCGCCUUGGCCGCCUCCUCUCCUCCGCCGUGUCAUCGGCCCCCUCCCUCCUCCUACCUCCUCCUCCCUCCUCUCAGUCCCAUUCCAGCCGCUGCCCAAACCCUAGCCGCCGGUUCCCUCGAUCCCCACAGUAACCGCAUCCACAACCACCCACUCCUUCUCACAGCCGCCACACCAUUCCUCCUUUCCGCCCCCUCCUCCUUCCCGGAUCCCCACCACGACGCCGACCUGCAGGAAAAGGGCGACGAAGAGUAG
rnacentral:rRNA from 1 species